AUUGAACGCUGGCGGCAGGCCUAACACAUGCAAGUCGAGCGGAUGAAGGGAGCUUGCUCCUGGAUUCAGCGGCGGACGGGUGAGUAAUGCCUAGGAAUCUGCCUGGUAGUGGGGGAUAACGUCCGGAAACGGGCGCUAAUACCGCAUACGUCCUGAGGGAGAAAGUGGGGGAUCUUCGGACCUCACGCUAUCAGAUGAGCCUAGGUCGGAUUAGCUAGUUGGUGGGGUAAAGGCCUACCAAGGCGACGAUCCGUAACUGGUCUGAGAGGAUGAUCAGUCACACUGGAACUGAGACACGGUCCAGACUCCUACGGGAGGCAGCAGUGGGGAAUAUUGGACAAUGGGCGAAAGCCUGAUCCAGCCAUGCCGUGUGUGAAGAAGGUCUUCGGAUUGUAAAGCACUUUAAGUUGGGAGGAAGGGCAGUAAGUUAAUACCUUGCUGUUUUGACGUUACCAACAGAAUAAGCACCGGCUAACUUCGUG
rnacentral:rRNA from 1 species